rnacentral:rRNA from 1 species
UACGUAGGGCGCGAGCGUUGUUCGGAAUCACUGGGCGUAAAGCGCGUGUAGGCGGCCUGCUAAGUCUGAUGUGAAAGCCCGAGGCUCACCCUCGGAAGUGCAUUGGAAACUGGCAGACUGGAGUCCCGGAGAGGAGGGUGGAAUUCCUGGUGUAGCGGUGAAAUGCGUAGAUAUCAGGAGGAACACCGGUGGCGAAGGCGGCCCUCUGGACGGUGACUGACGCUGAGACGCGAAAGCGUGGGGAGCAAACAGG